rnacentral:rRNA from 1 species
GAUGAACGCUGGCGGCGUGCCUAAUACAUGCAAGUCGAGCGAACAGACGAGGAGCUUGCUCCUCUGACGUUAGCGGCGGACGGGUGGGUAACACGUGGAUAACCUACCUAUAAGACUGGGAUAACUUCGGGAAACCGGAGCUAAUACCGGAUAAUAUAUUGAACCGCAUGGUUCAAUAGUGAAAGACGGUUUUGCUGUCACUUAUAGAUGGAUCCGCGCCGCAUUAGCUAGUUGGUAAGGUAACGGCUUACCAAGGCAACGAUGCGUAGCCGACCUGAGAGGGUGAUCGGCCACACUGGAACUGAGGCACGGUCCAGACUCCUACGGGAGGCAGCAGUAGGGAAUCUUCCGCAAUGGGCGAAAGCCUGACGGAGCAACGCCGCGUGAGUGAUGAAGGUCUUCGGAUCGUAAAACUCUGUUAUUAGGGAAGAACAAAUGUGUAAGUAACUAUGCACGUCUUGACGGUACCUAAUCAGAAAGCCACGGCUAACUACGUG